AUUAGUGCGUUUACAAACGUUUAGCUAGACACAGAGUGCCAAUUGGUGCGUUUAGGAACCUUUAGCCAGACAGAAAAGUUCUCCAGGUCCCCACCCAACCCAGAAGCCCUGCAGGCUUCACCGCUCAGUGGCACUCGCCCGGGACUUUGCGGCACCUAGUCCGGGCACUCUGGCAGCCCAGAGGGAGCUCGUCAUCAAGCCCAGCAGGCGCCGGCCUGCCGCGCCGAGAGCAGGGGCCCGCCGAGCCUGGGCCCACCCGGAACGCGCGCCCGGCUUCAAGCGCCUCGCGCAGCCAUGGAUCCCGCCCGCGCCUCUCCCCACACACCUCCCCGCCAGCAGAGGGAGCCGGCUCAAGCCUCGGCCAGCCCUAGAGAGGGGCCCCCACAGCACAGCCGCGGGCCGAAGGGCUCCUGGAACGCGGCCAGAGCGGACGCAGAGGCCCAGGAGGCGCCGAGAGCCCAGAGCGAGCAAGGGCUGCCCUCACGUUUUCACCUCUCAACAGGAGGAAGUAAAGGAAAUUUUACCUACGAAAUAGCAAUACUAAGCUUUACAGCUGAUAUUACAACAGCAACAAGAAAAGGCUGGUGAUAUGCAAUAUGAUGCUCUCUCCAGAUGCUAGGCAGUCAGCCAGGAAAUCAGUAGGAUAAACAACCGACAUUCUUCAGCUUCUUCAGCGUACCGUGUUGUCAGAUGAUUCUGCCCAGCUGCAGGCUAAUUAAAAGUUACCUGAAUCGACUCCUGGAUACAUCACAAUUGAGUUAAAGGUUGGAAAACUGAGGGAAAAGUCCCUGACAGCCCAGAAAAACGCCCUGAAUAUCACUGCAAAGAAAUAGAGGAUCUCAAGCUGAGAACAACCAAAGAUAAGUAAAUGAAUGAGGGCUACUCAUUCCACAUAGCCCCCUCUUUGCCUUACCAAAUCCUCUCAGUUAUUUCCACCUUUCCCCUUGAACUUCGCCGCCAGACAUCAGAACUCUUCUUUGACACAUACUUGCAAGGAGAUUUUGACUAUCCAUGGGAGUAUGUUUGUAACUUCUUAGACCUAUAAGGGGAAAUUGUAUAUUCUGGCAAAUGGUAAAUAAAUUUUGGAUGGAAAUAGCUUACUACAUUACAAUUGCAGGAAUUGCUAUACUUACUCUGCUGUUUGCAGUGGGACUAUAUACCAUGACACUCACACAGUGGAAUUCUGGACAAAGAAUUUUACUUGCUGUAAUCUUCUGCCCAACUAUCACCUUUAUAGCAGGUCUAAUAAUUACAGAAAACAAAGACAAAUAUGAAGUUCUUGCUACUGAAACUUUUCUUCCUCCUCCUGAUAGAGCAGGUCAAUCCCCUAAACCCUAUAGCCCAACAAAUCCAACACCUCGCCUUGGCAGUCAACCUAACUUCAUGUUAUAUUUGUACUUCAGACUCGCUGUCAGCGGAAGUAUUACCACUAUCAUUGGAGGAUUUAGCCAAAGUUAACACUCCAGUUACCCUCACUGCUCAGUCCAAUGCAACUUAUCCUGAUAAGCAAGUCAAGGAUAUAUUUCUCCCAAUCAUCUCACAAGUUAUAAAGGAUGGCCACCCAGACCUGAAUUUUACAGAAACCCCACCUCCUAUAAAAGUCUUUGGCAAUGUGGAUUCAAGGCUCACAUUUCCUAUUUAUUUCACAUCCCAAAGGAAAAAAGGAACUUUCCUGAGAACCUUGUCCAACUGCUCAUAUGAAGUCUUUCUUAGCUGGACAGCUCAGGAAAGGCCAUAUAACCCCUCAGAAAAGAGACUCAAAUGGUACCUUAAAGUAAGAAAGCAGCACCAGUUCCUUCUCCUUAAAUAUCCAAAUUCAAGGCAACCUCAAUUUACUAGUAACACCAACGCUUGCCACAUUUCUACGGGUUGGUACUCAGUGUUGAUAGAUAACUCGCCUUUACCCCUAACCCAAACUUUAGCCUGGGGAGUGCAGAGAAUGUUCUUAAAAUUCCACCCCAAUCACGUAUUCACCCCCAGCAUUUGAGUGGAAUUUGCCUCAAUAUGGGAGGACCUCAGUGGGAACUACUUAAGUAAGCAAGACCCCCCAUGUAGAGCUGAACUUUUGGGGAUAUAAAGUGUCUCUAGAUCUCAAACGAGAGCUAUACUUCAUAUGUGGAAAUUUGGGGUAUAUGAGCCCACCAAGUCAUUGGAGGAGAACCUGUGGUGUUGCAGCAAUACUUUCAAAACUAUCCUAUGCCAAUACUUCCAUACAAUUCCCGUUCCUUAUAAAACACCCAUAUUGUAGUAAGAAAAGGCAGCUCACGUAAUUCUAGUCGGGCAGCUCAUGUAAUUCUAAUCCCUUUAGCAGCUGUUGUAACUGGACUCCUAGGAAUCACUCUUCGGUCCGUCUCCCGAAGGUAAAUGGGAUUACAUUUAUCCUUUCAGCAAACUCAAGCUCUAGCUGAAAUUACGGCUGCCAGUCAGGCAUGGUGGCUCACGCCUGUAAUCCCAGCACUUUGGGAGGCCGAGGCAGGUGGAUAAUGAGGUCAGGAGUUCCAGACCAGCCUGGCCAAUAUGGUGAAACCCUGUCUCUACUAAAAAAAUACAAAAAUUAGCCAGGCAUGGUGGCACACACCCAGCUACUUGGAAGGCUGAGGCAGGAGAAUCGCUUGAACCUGGGAGGCAGAGGUUGCAGUGAGCCAAGAUCACACCACUGCACUCCAGCCUGGGUGACACGGUAAGACUUCAUCUUGAAAAAAAAAAAAAAAGGAAAAGAAAUUAUGGCUGCCAUUCAAGAACAACAACGGCAAAUAAACUCACUUGCAGGUAUCACCCUGCAAAACCGUAGGGGACAGAACCUCCUAAUGGCAAGUCAGAGAGGAAUAUGUGUUUUCCUUAAGGAAGAGUGUUGCUCCUAUAUUAAUGCUUCUGGUAAAGUACAGCAACAUCUAGUAGAGGCAACCAAUAUUAUCACCCACACGCCACAGCACAGCCCAUCUACAUGGCUCACAGGCAUCAAACAAACUCUGAUGUCAUGGUUCUGGUCUAUAGUGCCCCCACUAAUACUGGUAAUCUUAAUUAAUACUCAUAUUUAGACCCUAUAUUCUGAACCUCCUUGUAAAGUUCUUCUCUUCUUGCCUAGAAACCAUCUACUUUCAAAUGGUGCUGCAAAUGGAGCUGAAAAUGAAACCGUCCUUCUAAAAUGAAACCGCCCUUCUACCGGGGACCCUUAAAUUGACCCCUGGAGGAGCCCUAAUUGCUGGUCCCCACACAAUACCCCUCUCCAGCAGGAAGUGGCCAGAGAAGUCAUCACCCAAUUCCCCCUAACAGCAGUUAGGGAUCCCAUUGCAGAGGGGAGAAAUAUGUUAUAGGAGGCAGAAAGAAAUUAUUUAGACAGUUGGGGUAAAGCGAGUCCCCGGCAGGAAACUUUCCUUUUAACAAAAAGCAGCUCAAACAGAGCUCCCUUUCUAACCUCAUGCAGUUCAAGGAUGCCACUUCUCUUCUAACAACAAGCAGCCUGAAAGAGCAGACAACAAAACACAGAUAAGACAGCUGGGGCACAGAAGGAGGGGGGGAAAUCUCCUGGGUAGUCACCAAACUUCACAUUUAUACUAUGGGUCCCAGUAAAACAGUGGACCUUAAUAAGCACGUUCCUUUCCCUUCAGGUGCACUAAGAUAGGGAAGCUAAAAGCAGACUCUGGGGGUAUGCCUGCAGCUGCAGGAAGAUGUAUGUAGGAGACAGAAACUCUCCCUCCUACAUAAGCAAGACAAAGAGACACAGACUAAAAGUUGGCCUAUGUGGUCCAGGAACGGAGUGGGAACUGAUCAAACAAACAAACACAAACUCUGCUCUAUACAGAUAGCAUACCUGGCUCAACUGAACCUUUGGGCACCUAGGAGGAUAAGACACCCCCUCCUCAACAGCCCCCUCCUCACUAGCCCGUUUAUAAAAACCCUGGCAUUUUUACUGCCACCCAGCAACCCACUCGGGACCCCUCUCUGUAACUGAAAGCUGUUCUUUCCUUUUGCCUAUCAAACUCCUGCUCCGAACUCACUGUCUGUGUGUGUGUCCAUGACCUCCGUCUCCUUCGCUGUGAGACCAAGAGCCUUGGUAUUUACCCCAGACGAUGAGGCUGCUUUAUAAUUAUGUUCUUGUAAAGCAUUUCUGAAAAUGGUAUUGCUCCAAACUGUAAAAUUGCAAGUUUAAUAUU